GGGCUCGAGUUUCAACCACGUAGGACCGGCUAGAACACAGAAAUUCUAGUUUCCUCCCGGGACUAAAGGCUUCUUAGCACAAACACCACCCCUGGAGUUCCCAGUACAUCAAUACCAGCCUGGGGAUCACGUUCUCAUCAAGAGUUGGAAGAGGGAAAGCUUGAACCAGCUUAGGAGGACCUUAUCUGGUACUCUUGAUGAAUGAAACAGCAAUCUGAAUGGCUGAAAAAGGAUGGACCCAGCAUAUGCGGGGAGAAAACUUGGCAUUCUUUGGGAAUCUAACAGGAUGCAGUGAACCCAAGCCUUUUCAAGAGCUCAACAAUCAGACUGCCCUUGUCUAUCCAUGAGCAGAUGUUUGAUGGUAUUGCAGAGGACCUCUACUGGGUAUGCUGCCAAGCAACUGGAGUGGCACUUGGGCUCUAAUCCAAUUGUCUAUCCCUUUCACCCUGGCAUUUCAUCAGCCAAACAAAAACCAACUAACUCAGAAAAAAAGGAAAUCCCCUCAAGGGUCCUUUGACCCCGAUAUCUACAUAGAUGCUAUCGGGGUCCCCUGAGGGGUACCAAAUGAAUUCAAAGCUCAAAAUCAAAUAGCUGCUGGAUUCAAGUCUGUCCUGUUCUUGUGGUCUACUAUAAAUAAAAAUGUAGUCUGGAUAAAUUACAUAUAACCAACAA
rnacentral:antisense_RNA from 1 species